GACGAACGCUGGCGGCGUGCUUAACACAUGCAAGUCGAACGGAAAGGCCCUGCUUUUGUGUGGUGCUCGAGUGGCGAACGGGUGAGUAACACGUGAGUAACCUGCCCUUGACUUUGGGAUAACUUCAGGAAACUGGGGCUAAUACCGGAUAGGAGCUCCUGCUGCAUGGUGGGGGUUGGAAAGUUUCGGCGGUUGGGGAUGGACUCGCGGCUUAUCAGCUUGUUGGUGGGGUAGUGGCUUACCAAGGCUUUGACGGGUAGCCGGCCUGAGAGGGUGACCGGCCACAUUGGGACUGAGAUACGGCCCAGAGGCCUACGGGAGGCAGCAGUGGGGAAUAUUGCACAAUGGGCGGAAGCCUGAUGCAGCAACGCCGCGUGCGGGAUGACGGCCUUCGGGUUGUAAACCGCUUUCGCCUGUGACGAAGCGUGAGUGACGGUAAUGGGUAAAGAAGCACCGGCUAACUACGUG
rnacentral:rRNA from 1 species